GGCAGGUGGGUUUCGGCUGAGGAGAAACUGAGGUUGGUGUGGCAGUGCCCCAUUCAACCUAAUGGGCCAGCCUCUGCUGCUUCUCCUCCCACUGUUAUGUGUGGAACAUGAAAAGGCUGAAAGCUCCCCUCAGCUUGGUAACCAUAUAACCGGACUAUUAGCUAAAGAAAACAGUAAUACCCAAAUGCUGGUGGAAAGAAAAAAAGAAAAAAUAUGAGAGAUCCAACAGGAAACAAAAACCACAAGCAGAAAGGGCCCUCAGGAGUGAUGCCUCAAUGCCUCUGGCAAGUAUACCUGAAGGAGUGUCUCCACCUCCAUCGUUCUGCCCGGACGCUGAGGUCCAGCGCCGAGGGCCUUCUGGU